GCAGCGAUCCGUCAAUGGCAGGCCGCCAGCCUUCCAAGUUGGUAAUGCGGGUUCGACUCCCGCUCGCUGCA
rnacentral:tRNA from 1 species